rnacentral:rRNA from 1 species
UACGUAGGGGGGCUAGCGUUGUCCGGAAUCAUUGGGCGUAAAGAGCGUGUAGGCGGCCCGGUAAGUCCGCUGUGAAAGUCGGGGGCUCAACCCUCGAAUGCCGGUGGAUACUGUCGGGCUAGAGUGCGGAAGAGGCGAGUGGAAUUCCUGGUGUAGCGGUGAAAGUGCGCAGAUAUCAGGAGGAACACCGGUGGCGAAGGCGGGUCUCUGGGCCGAUACUGACGCUGAGGAGCGAAAGCGUGGGGAGCAAACAGG